AAUAGAUACCCCGGUAGUCCACGCCGUAAACGAUGAAUGCUAGGUGUUAGGGGUUUCGAUACCCUUGGUGCCGAAGGAAACCCAUUAAGCAUUCCGCCUGGGGAGUACGGUCGCAAGACUGAAACUCAAAGGAAUUGACGGGGACCCGCACAAGCAGUGGAGUAUGUGGUUUAAUUCGAAGCAACGCGAAGAACCUUACCAGGUCUUGACAUCCCUCUGACCGGUACAGAGAUGUACCUUUCCUUCGGGACAGAGGAGACAGGUGGUGCAUGGUUGUCGUCAGCUCGUGUCGUGAGAUGUUGGGUUAAGUCCCGCAACGAGCGCAACCCUUAACUUUAGUUGCCAGCAAUUCGGUUGGGCACUCUAGAGUGACUGCCGGUGACAAACCGGAGGAAGGUGGGGAUGACGUCAAAUCAUCAUGCCCCUUAUGACCUGGGCUACACACGUACUACAAUGGCCGAUACAACGGGAAGCGAAAUCGCGAGAUGGAGCGAAUCCUAUCAAAGUCGGUCUCAGUUCGGAUUGCAGGCUGCAACUCG
rnacentral:rRNA from 1 species